GGGCGCAUAGCUCAGUUGGCUAGAGCAUCGGCCUUACAAGCCGGGGGUCAUAGGUUCGAGUCCUAUUGCGCCCA
rnacentral:tRNA from 1 species